rnacentral:lncRNA from 1 species
UUUUGAAGGAUUAUGAUUGUUAGAUCAUUUACCACCACGGGAGAGGGAAUAUAGUCGCUGAUACUUUAAGUUGACGAGAGCCUGCUAUGUUGACCCAAAUCAUAGCCUCCAGUUAGAAGAUAAUGGACACCAUGCAAUCACUCCACCUUAACUAUUAUGGCAAAGGCACCUACCUCGCCCAAAUUCGAGCCCUACUAGAUCUCUUUAUAAAGAUAUGGGAAGUACAGGCCACGGACCCGGAACUCAUCAAGAACCUGGGUAAGUUCACUUCAGAUGACU